CUGGCUGUGUCUCAGCGACUGAGUUAAGCUUCUAAAUCGAAAUCCCUAAUUUUCCUUCGUCUUCGACUCUCCAAGGCUGCCCACUGCCUAAUCUCUCCGUCUCCGACUCUCCUUCUAGCUCUUCUCCAAAUCCCUAACAGUCGAUGGUCGCUUUCUCUAGCCAUCCCCCGGUAGACUGGUACGAAUCCCUCCCGUUCACAGCUUCACCCCUUCUCAAGCUCGCCAAGCCCAUCUCCCAUUCUCGCCCCUUCUCCCUCAUCAAAGUCCUCACCCCACUCACAGUCGUCCCAGCAGCUGCCUAUACCCCUUAUCCCGUCUCCACUCCAGCAACCCAUCUGAAGCUCUUCGGCUCCUUCGUCGCCAGAUGCAUCUCUUCGUCGUCCGUGAACUCGGCCCACACCCUCGAGUGGAACGAGCCCGUCUCCUGCUCUGAGUUCGGAGCACUGUCAAAUUAAUGAUGAUGGUGAGAUCUAGCUUCGUGGAAGAAGCCAUAAAAGCAUUAUAUGCUAUUUCAGCUUUGAUUUGGAACAAUUUCCCUGGUCAGCAGAUGUUUUAUGCUGAAGCAGGAGAUCUGAUGAUUCAGGAUAUUCUGACCAACUCAAGCAUUGACAUAAGGCUUUGGAGGAAAGCCAUAUUUCUUGUCGGGGACCUAGCAGAGUAGAUGCUAGCGGAUUCGAUGUCGAGGUGGAUGCAAAGUCCUCAAUCCCUGUCCAGGCUUAUUUCUUUUCCACAAGGAAUAUAGAGUAUGAGGUGAGAGAGAAGCCGGCACUAAGCACAUGGACGGGAUGGGAUAUUUUGUUUGUGGAUGGAUGGGAUAUUUUCGGUUUAAUUUAGCAAGAUGAAAAAUUUUACAGGUUCCAAUAGGGUACUCAGAACCUGUGGUAUAAUACAGGUUCCGGGUAGGG